ACCCGAUACGUGGAUCGGCUUGCCCUUUCGAUAUCAACAGUUGUUCAGUUAGAUGGAACCAUAUGGGUAAUGAAGAGAAGACAGCGGCAGUUCAUCAAGAAAUUAAGAGGAUGAAUCAACUUCCUGCACCCAGCAGUUCUGUUUCUCAUCGUUUGCUGGUUCUUUAAUGAAAUUCUUCAACUUGUGUCCAUUCAGAGGACCGGCUCACAAGAUAAGGAAUUGGAGUUGCUUUUUGCUGGGUUGCAUCUGUGAUUGAUUUGCCAGUGCUAUAGCGAGUUGGCUUGAAAUUUGUUUGUUGGAAUUUGGUUUUGUUUGUAUUUGCCUCUUCUUUUUCUUGAGUUGAUGAAAUGGGUAUGAUGGAAGGUUUAGCUAUCUUGAAGAUUUGACAUGUGAUGUAAAUUCGGUUUUGGUUAUCGUUGAACUCAACUAGCUUCUUUGCAACAAUGUUUUGGAGUGAGCUAAAAAAUUUCCUGUCUUCUCCUCUGUGGUCUGAUUUUAAGUCAUUUUUCUUUUUGCAUCAUCUCAUGCAUUUCUGUGUAACUUUUUUCUUCAUUGUAGAGGUUGCCGUUAGCAGUCCGGGUCCUCGCCACAGUGAUUGAAGUUUUUCUGGUUCUAUUUUCAUGCGGGAUAUUGGUUGGUGUCAUAUCAGUGUCAUCUUUGCAUAUCAUAUUUUAGUUAUAAAGAAAAUUCUUUUAUGAUAUAUAGCCCUUUUGUAAUGCUUAUUAUCUCAUAGCCCAGGGCUUAAGAGAUGAAGAUCCCCUCUUUCUGUGUUUGAAGACUACAUUACCAUAUCACUUGUUAGGGCUUAGGAGAGCCUGUAAACUUCAGUAAGCGUUCUAGAUUACAAGAGGCAUUACCCUUUUCUGCUCAAUUUUUAUCUUCAAUUUUUGUUCUUUUCUUCUUACAUGUCAUAAAUGUGUACGAAGUGAAUGUUUCUAAUUGCCAAUGGAUGCUUUGCUUGCUCAUUUGUGAUCAUUUCAUAAGUAAUUCAUUUGUGUACCUUUCCUUAAUGAUUACGGGCUAUCACCAGGGCCUAAACAAACACAGAAGACCAAGGGCCAAAUAUUGCAUUUAUGCUGAGCUCCUCCUCUCUCCAUUUGUUGAUCAGAUUUCUACUCUACAUAUGUUCCCAUGCUCAUAAACUGUGUUGUUUGGAAGUUUUUGUUAUUCUCCUUAAUUUUGCAGACUUGUCAAAAUAAUGAGAAAAAACCAUUGGUUUACCAAGAUUAUUGCGUGUAAAGUUGUUAGAAAUGGUGCCCCUGCAUAGUAUCCUCUUUCCCUCUCCAGAUUCUUACCCCGUGACACUCUGACUUUGUUUUACUGUUCUCCAUUUAUCUUUCAAAUUGUGUAUGCUUAUUAUUCUUCCUGCUAGUUCAUGCUGCUUCUUCUUAGACUUGAUUCAUGUAAAUUCAAUCAACAUUCCAAUUUUAUUUCCCUUACCUGAUCAUAUAGUUAUAGCACUUCCUUCCCAUCAUUUUUUUUUUUGCAUUGAAUUUUCCUUGCAAAAGCCCAUCUUCAGGAACUGGAAGCAAAAAGAAUGUUAAUCCUCAACCCUCACCGUCUUUGAUAAAUUUGAUCUUGCAGGAUUAGCAUCAUCGCAGAAAGUUAAAUCCUCAGAUUGUAUCUCCAAGGCAUGAUGGACAUGGUUUGCCCUUGUAUGCAGUGCUGAAACAAAUGCCUCUCUGGUAGGCUGAAAUUUAAAUCUUGUGAACAUCUUCUGAAGCUGUUUUCUUUUCAUCAGAGUGCUCUGUAUCUUUUGUUUGACUAGGGCGUCUUUUCCCCCCGUCGUGUUAACUGACCACCUGUGGGAUUCCGAUAACUAGAGAUGCAUGAGUCCUUCAGUCAUGAACUUAGCUUCUGUUUUCUCUCUCUCUUUCCUUCUUUCAUUUUCUUUUCUCUGGUGGGGGGAAUGGGUUCUGUCAAAUUGUUAAUUCGCGUGUUACGAAGUUGCAGUUUUGUCUAUGAUGGAUGGAUUACUGAUUGGUGACGAUAACUGAUAUAUUUUAGCCCUAGUGAUCUAUCAGCAUAUAUGUUUGAUUAA